GACGAACGCUGGCGGCGUGCUUAACACAUGCAAGUCGAACGGAAAGGCCCUGCUUUUGUGGGGUGCUCGAGUGGCGAACGGGUGAGUAACACGUGAGUAACCUGCCCUUGACUUUGGGAUAACUUCAGGAAACUGGGGCUAAUACCGGAUAGGAGCUCCUGCUGCAUGGUGGGGGUUGGAAAGUUUCGGCGGUUGGGGAUGGACUCGCGGCUUAUCAGCUUGUUGGUGGGGUAGUGGCUUACCAAGGCUUUGACGGGUAGCCGGCCUGAGAGGGUGACCGGCGACAUGGGGACUGAGAUACGGCCCAGACUCCAACGGGAGGCAGCAGUGGGGAAUAUUGCACAAUGGGCGGAAGCCUGAUGCAGCAACGCCGCGUGCGGGAUGACGGCCUUCGGGUUGUAAACCGCUUUCGCCUGUGACGAAGCGUGGGUGACGGUAAUGGGUAAAGAAGCACCGGCUAACUACGUG
rnacentral:rRNA from 1 species